GAUAGUGUCACCAGCUAAAAGCUCAGAGCCUUUUGAAUCCAUAGUGUCACCAGCUAAAAGCUCAGAGCCUUUUGAAUCCAUAGUGUUCUCACCAGGACAGGGUAUUUGGAAGCAGCUGUUAAGUUGUGGGAGUGUGUACACACACACAGAAAUCCAAGUGGAAUUCUGAAUGAUUGGCACCAUGGGAAACCCAACACUUGAUAAAGAGCAGUGCAUAUGGUGAAUGUGGGGGACAAAUUUUGAAGCUGUAAUUCAGGGUGCAAAAAUUGAUGUUUUAUCCCCAACAUGCUCCUAACCUGGGCACUCAGGCACCCACUCAGCAGAGGCAGAGGACUGCUCAGAGGUUGAAGGAAUGCACACUGAUGCCAUUUCCUGAGGAAUUGGGCAAUUCUUCCUGGCAGGAGCUGCUGGUUACCAGAGACUGUGUUUGCUGAAGGUGGGAACACCCAUGUGAGCAAAAAGCACUCUUCCCAUGAGCACUGACUGAACUCUGACACGCUAAAAAUCCUUAAGAAUUUUCCAAAUUUUCACUACUGCUUAUUUUGAUUUGGGGUUGUCCAGCCUGUCUGUCCAUCCAGCCUGUCUGUCCAUCCAGCCCUUGAUCCCCCUGGGGAAGACCUGACCCCCCAAGAGGGACUGUUGGAUCACUUAAAGGAUGUCACACAAAGAGAUAUUCCAUGGGAGAUUGGUGCCUACCACUGACACUUGGUUGAUAAGCCUUGUUCUUAAUUCCUCUGGUUUUCACCCCAAGGAAAUCUAAGAAUGUUUUCACACAUAGAGUGUUUCCAAGAAAAUGCUAAGGCAGCAUCAAAUAUUUGGGAGAGGAAUUAAGGAAGGUUUGUUCAAGACAAGUAGAAAGAAUCAUGAGAAAAACAGUGCUGAAAGAAGGAAUAUUUCUGAGAAUUCUGGAAAUUCCCAUUGCUGCUAUCAGUGCAUGGCCUAUAUUGUUACACUUGUGUGUUAAAU